AUUGAACGCUGGCGGCAGGCCUAACACAUGCAAGUCGAGCGGAUGACGGGAGCUUGCUCCUUGAUUCAGCGGCGGACGGGUGAGUAAUGCCUAGGAAUCUGCCUGGUAGUGGGGGACAACGUUUCGAAAGGAACGCUAAUACCGCAUACGUCCUACGGGAGAAAGCAGGGGACCUUCGGGCCUUGCGCUAUCAGAUGAGCCUAGGUCGGAUUAGCUAGUAGGUGAGGUAAUGGCUCACCUAGGCGACGAUCUGUAACUGGUCUGAGAGGAUGAUCAGCCACACUGGAACGGAGACACGGCCCAGACUCCUACGGGAGGCAGCAGUGGGGAAUAUUGGACAAUGGGCGAAAGCCUGAUCCAGCCAUGCCGCGUGUGUGAAGAAGGUCUUCGGAUUGUAAAGCACUUUAAGUUGGGAGGAAGGGCAGUAAGUUAAUACCUUGCUGUUUUGACGUUACCGACAGAAUAAGCACCGGCUAACUCUAUGCCAGCAGCCGCCGUAACAC
rnacentral:rRNA from 1 species